GGCACCUUAGCUCAGGUGGUUAGAGCAUGCGGCUCAUAUCCGCAGUGUCCGGGGUUCAAAUCCCUGAGGUGCCA
rnacentral:tRNA from 1 species